AAAAAGCUUCAAACUGGGAUUAGAUACCCCACUAUGCUCAGCCGUAAACUUAGACAUCCAACUACAAUUAGAUGUCCGCCAGGGUACUACGAGCAUUAGCUUAAAACCCAAAGGACCUGACGGUGUCUCAGAUCCCCCUAGAGGAGCCUGUUCUAGAACCGAUAACCCCCGUUUAACCUCACCACUUCUAGCCACCCCAGCCUAUAUACCGCCGUCGUCAGCUUACCCUGUGAAGGACAUAAAAGUAAGCAAAAUGGGUACAACCCAGAACGUCAGGUCGAGGUGUAGCGCAUGAAAUGGAAAGAAAUGGGCUACAUUUUCUACCACAGAAUAUUACGAACAUGUACCAUGAAAUAGUGCUUGAAGGAGGAUUUAGUAGUAAAAGGGAAAUAGAGUGUCCCUUUGAACCCGGCUCUGAGACGCGUACACACCGCCCGUCACCCUCUGCAGUCAA
rnacentral:rRNA from 1 species